rnacentral:tmRNA from 1 species
GGGCGUGUUCCGGAUUCGACCCUUGGUUGGAGUGCGCAGCUGCCGGUCGAGAGCCGAAGGUCUCUCGCAAAUCUCCCUUCGAAAAAAACAAACGGCACCUACGAAGAAAUGCCCCUGGCGGCCUAAUGGCCGCCUCGUUCCUACUCUGACUCCUGCUAAGGGAUAGGAACGUCGACAGCAGGAAUAGCGGGUUUGGCCGUCGUGACGGGCCCGCCGUAUCUUCGAACCACGGCUGGCUGAGGGACGAGCGCGGGUCAACGCGCGCCCAAGGCGAGAUUCAAAUAUGACCCUACACCGGUAGAUGCGGCGCGCGAAGGCCCGGGGCACAGGGGUUCAACUCCCCUCACGUCCAAUU